rnacentral:rRNA from 1 species
GGAUUAGAUACCCUGGUAGUCCACGCCGUAAACGAUGAUUACUCGCUGUAGGCGAUACACAGUCUGUGGCUAAGCGAAAGUUUUAAGUAAUCCACCUGGGGAGUACGAUCGCAAGAUUGAAACUCAAAGGAAUUGACGGGGGCCCGCACAAGCGGAGGAACAUGUGGUUUAAUUCGAUGAUACGCGAGGAACCUUACCUGGACUUAAAUGUGCGUUGCAUAGAUCAGAGAUGGUCUUUUCUUCGGACUACGUACAAGGUGCUGCAUGGUUGUCGUCAGCUCGUGCCG